rnacentral:rRNA from 1 species
UACGUAGGGCGCAAGCGUUAUCCGGAAUUAUUGGGCGUAAAGAGCUCGUAGGCGGUUUGUCGCGUCUGCCGUGAAAGUCCGGGGCUCAACUCCGGAUCUGCGGUGGGUACGGGCAGACUAGAGUGAUGUAGGGGAGACUGGAAUUCCUGGUGUAGCGGUGAAAUGCGUAGAUAUCAGGAGGAACACCGAUGGCGAAGGCAGGUCUCUGGGCCACUACUGACGCUGAGAAGCGAAAGCAUGGGGAGCGAGCAGG